rnacentral:rRNA from 1 species
ACAAGUUCAACGGCCGCGGUAUUUUGACCGUGCAAAGGUAGCGCAAUCACUUGUCUUUUAAAUAGAGACCUGUAUGAAUGGCUAAACGAGGGCUUAACUGUCUCCCUUUUCAGGUCAGUGAAAUUGAUCUAUCCGUGCAGAAGCGGGUAUAACAAUACAAGACGAGAAGACCCUUUGGAGCUUAAGGUACAAAACUCAACCACGUCAAGCAACUUAAUAAAAAGUAAAAACUUUGUGAAACAUGAGAUUCUACCUUCGGUUGGGGCGACCGCGGAGGAAAAAAAAGCCUCCAAGUGGACCGGGACAAACUCCUAAAACCAAGAGAAACAUCUCUAAGCCACAGAACAUCUGACCAAACAUGAUCCGGCCACCAGGACCGAUCAACGAACCAAGUUACCCUAGGGAUAACAGCGCAAUCCCCUCCCAGAGUCCAUAUCGACGAGGGGGUUUACGACCUCGAUGUUGGAUCAGGACAUCCUAAUGGUGCAGCCGCUAUUAAGGGUUCGUUUGUUCAACGAUUAAAGUCCUACGUGAUC